rnacentral:rRNA from 1 species
UAGCUACAGGCUUAACACAUGCAAGUCGAGGGGCAUCAGGAAGAAAGCUUGCUUUCUUUGCUGGCGACCGGCGCACGGGUGAGUAACACGUAUCCAACCUGCCCUUUACUCGGGGAUAGCCUUUCGAAAGAAAGAUUAAUACCCGAUAGCAUAAUGAUUCCGCAUGGUUUCAUUAUUAAAGGAUUCCGGUAAAGGAUGGGGAUGCGUUCCAUUAGGUUGUUGGUGAGGUAACGGCCCACCAAGCCUUCGAUGGAUAGGGGUUCUGAGAGGAAGGUCCCCCACAUUGGAACUGAGACACGGUCCAAACUCCUACGGGAGGCAGCAGUGAGGAAUAUUGGUCAAUGGGCGCUAGCCUGAACCAGCCAAGUAGCGUGAAGGAUGAAGGCUCUAUGGGUCGUAAACUUCUUUUAUAUAAGAAUAAAGUGCAGUAUGUAUACUGUUUUGUAUGUAUUAUAUGAAUAAGGAUCGGCUAACUCCGUGCCAGCAGCCGCGGUAAUACGGAGGAUCCGAGCGUUAUCCGGAUUUAUUGGGUUUAAAGGGAGCGUAGGUGGACUGGUAAGUCAGUUGUGAAAGUUUGCGGCUCAACCGUAAAAUUGCAGUUGAUACUGUCAGUCUUGAGUACAGUAGAGGUGGGCGGAAUUCGUGGUGUAGCGGUGAAAUGCUUAGAUAUCACGAAGAACUCCGAUUGCGAAGGCAGCUCACUGGACUGCAACUGACACUGAUGCUCGAAAGUGUGGGUAUCAAACAGGAUUAGAUACCCUGGUAGUCCACACAGUAAACGAUGAAUACUCGCUGUUUGCGAUAUACAGUAAGCGGCCAAGCGAAAGCAUUAAGUAUUCCACCUGGGGAGUACGCCGGCAACGGUGAAACUCAAAGGAAUUGACGGGGGCCCGCACAAGCGGAGGAACAUGUGGUUUAAUUCGAUGAUACGCGAGGAACCUUACCCGGGCUUAAAUUGCAGUGGAAUGAUGUGGAAACAUGUCAGUGAGCAAUCACCGCUGUGAAGGUGCUGCAUGGUUGUCGUCAGCUCGUGCCGUGAGGUGUCGGCUUAAGUGCCAUAACGAGCGCAACCCUUAUCUUUAGUUACUAACAGGUUAUGCUGAGGACUCUAGAGAGACUGCCGUCGUAAGAUGUGAGGAAGGUGGGGAUGACGUCAAAUCAGCACGGCCCUUACGUCCGGGGCUACACACGUGUUACAAUGGGGGGUACAGAAGGCAGCUAGCGGGUGACCGUAUGCUAAUCCCAAAAUCCUCUCUCAGUUCGGAUCGAAGUCUGCAACCCGACUUCGUGAAGCUGGAUUCGCUAGUAAUCGCGCAUCAGCCACGGCGCGGUGAAUACGUUCCCGGGCCUUGUACACACCGCCCGUCAAGCCAUGGGAGCCGGGGGUACCUGAAGUACGUAACCGCAAGGAUCGUCCUAGGGUAAAACUGAUGACUGGG